rnacentral:lncRNA from 1 species
GCCAUAGUGCGAAGCGGGCUACGUGCAACAAAUCUCUGAACAUCUAAUUUGGGAUCCGAGGGCAUGAUCAGCAAGCAUCGACAAUGCAUCGAAAUCAGCAGAGAGUAGUGGUGCAUUGCAGAUAAUCAGUACCAUCCAUGGAAAUUAUUGCACAGGGCACACGUCUACACAAAGGAGGAAAAGACACAAGGUUUUGCAGAUCAAAUAAGAAGGAUGUUGGGGAGUCAUAUUUGACAUGAAGUUUCCUGAAGCCUGCGAUGGUCAUGUCGCUGUUACGAACAUCGUCCUUUGGGGAUAUUUACCCACAAGAAACAUCUGCGAAGUACAUGCGCUUGAAACUUAAGUUAUCUUAAGUAUGGAAGUAUGCUUCAAUUUGCUACACAACAGUUUGUAAUGUUUCAUGAAGAACUCUGACUCAUAAGUGACUUGAAUAUCCAUGAUCAUCCCAAACAAAUAUAAUAAAGAAUUCAUGGUUGCAGUUCAGAAUUUCGUCCGUGUGAUUUUAUGCCAGAGAAUAUGCAUGGGUGUAUGGUUUAAAUUCUUACACCUUGAAAAACAUCGGGUAAAUUGUAUUCGACACACACGAUGAGUUGUCGUUUCAGUAAUGUGGAAGUACGUGUCCGAGAACGUGUAGUGUUCUGAAUCUCGGUCCAGAACACUUUACAGGCGUUCUAAAAGCGUUACAUCGUCAGAACACGUUGAAGCGUUCUAAAUAUGUUUGUAGAACACUCCUGUUCUGGGUCGAGAACAUCAACGUUCAGAAUAUUUUCAGAACACAUGGACGCGUUCUAAAAGUGUUACAUCCAUGUGUUCUGUCUAGUGUUCAGAAGUGGAACACUUGGGUUUAGAG